rnacentral:tRNA from 1 species
GCCCGGGUGGCGGAAUGGCAGACGCAGGGGACUUAAAAUCCUCGGUUGCGGAAGCAACAUGCGAGUUCGACUCUCGCCCCGGGCACCA